UACGUAGGGUGCAAGCGUUAAUCGGAAUUACUGGGCGUAAAGCGUGCGCAGGCGGUUUUGUAAGUCUGACGUGAAAUCCCCGGGCUCAACCUGGGAAUUGCGAUGGAGACUGCAAGGCUGGAGUCUGGCAGAGGGGGGUAGAAUUCCACGUGUAGCAGUGAAAUGCGUAGAGAUGUGGAGGAACACCGAUGGCGAAGGCAGCCCCCUGGGUCAAGACUGACGCUCAUGCACGAAAGCGUGGGGAGCAAACAGG
rnacentral:rRNA from 1 species